CUUGUCACGUGACCGACUACAGCAUCCUUUUUGGUCCAUUUUGGAGGAAAGCGAGAUCACUCCAAGUCGCACACGAUCAUGACCAAACUGCAGUUUUUAAACGUCUUCCUGACCGAGCGGCUCAUGCUCGCCGCACAGGAGAUCUACAAGUCCGUGGAGGACACCAUUUUGGAGUACCAGGAGGAGAUAGCCAUCAGGGAGCGAGAGAACGACCAUCUGAGACGCAGGCUGCGAGAUGCUGGGAUUGAAAUAUGGCCAGACCGCCCAUCAAUGGCAUUGACUCUGGAAGAGGACGAUGCCGAGCAUCCGCGUCGUGAGUGGAGUCCCAGCAUGGGGCACGCGGAACGUAUUCCGAUCCACAUCAAGGAUAAGCGAGAUCUCCGUGCCAACCAAGGAGACGACGAACUCCGCGGUCACGGCUCCUGCAGCACUUCGGAAAACAUGUUCUCCCCCCAGCGCGUCGUAAACGAGUACGUGCAGGACGGUCCUCACACGUCCAACCUCCCUCUGUGUCAAGGAGUCGAGAACCGGGAGCGGGAUCCCAACUCCCGCAGCUCCUCGAGGCACGUGAAGGCGGAGAGCGGAGGUGCGCACAGGGGUCCCGCUUCCUCCAGCAACGCCGCGCAGCCCCUCGCGCCGGUCAACCCAAAUUGCUCAAAUGAGAACAACAUUGAUAUCAUCGGGGUGGAGAAUGUGGGGCAGAUGGUCGGCGCGAAGGGAAACGGACCCGUGGCAAACCGAGGACCGUCGUCUCACAUGCGCAGCCAAGCGGCCAACACCGUAGACUGCCCCCAUCAGAAAUCCCCCCUCCAAGGCCAGAUAUCGUCCUUCGGCUGCAAGGUAUGCGGCGAAGCCUUCAGCCACGUCGGCCACUUACACGUGCACGUGCAGGUGCACACGCGGGAGAAACCGUACCGCUGCGGCGUGUGCGGGAAGUGCUGCAGCUCCUCCGGCCGACUCCAGGAGCACCAGCGCAGCCACACGGGGGAGAAGCCGUUCCGUUGCCAGAUCUGCGGGAAGGGCUUCACCCAGAUGGCGCACCUCAAAGUACACAUGAGGAUCCACACGGGCGAGAAGCCGUACAGUUGCCCCGUUUGUGGGAAGUGCUUCAGCCGCUCGGAUAAAAUCAAAAGGCAUCUCCAGACACAUACGCGGGAGGGGACAUAUUUCUCGGGGCAAUGAUGCACAAGUUUCUUUGGCAUCAAAACAAUUUUUUUUUUUUAAAUAUGAACAUUUUUUUCUACUCUUCUAAAACUUGGAACGUUUUUACAUCAAAUAAUACUUCUGUGUCACAGUUUUUGUCAUGUAUUUUCUAUUCUCAUCCCUGUAGUAACACAACUAGCAUUACGAUUAAGUGUUCCACAGGGAAUUGAUAUUUUUACAAUUUUUGGUGCAAAAAUGGACAUACAGUAAUACAGUAAACCUCGGAUAUAUCGGAUUCAAUUGUUCCCACUGGUUUUGUCCGAUAUAAGCGAAAUCCGUUAUAUGCGUAUACCGGAAAAUGUCCGUUUUACGGAUUUUAUCUGUUAUAAAAAGGCACUUCCUUGACUAUGUUUCCAAUGUACGUGGACGCGCAGGCAACGCUGCAAACGCUGCAAAUGACGUCGUAUAGCGGCCUGUCACGAUUCGGCGAAUCGGAGUGCCACGAUGCGGCCAUCCGAUAUAUGCGAGGGAAAUUUAAUGGGAAUGCAUUGGAACGGGACUGGAGAUUUUGUCUGAAAUGGGCGAAAUCCGUUAUAAAAAAUCCGAUAUAUGCAAUGAAUUUUUAUUGGAAAUGCAUUACAGAAAAAUCGGUUCUUUUUUAUCUGUCCGUUGUGAGCGAAUUUCCGAUAUAUCCGAGUCCGAUAUAUCCGAGGUUUACUGUACCAUGAUCGCUCUUUCAUAGGUAGCUGGAAUUACCGGCUGCCCUCAACAUUUGGUUGUUUAUCGGCAAGAUUUGAAUGUGGAAUUGUGGGAAAGAACAUUUAUGUCAUUUUUCAACAUUAUCCUUCAUCUCUAAGGUACAAAUUCAUGAAUUUUACUGGUAAAAAUACCUGAAUUAUGAACAAGGUGAUCACUCGGCUUAAGAAGAAACAAAUUCCCACAGAAAAUAAUGACCCAGGGCUGGGGGUGGAGUCACAAUUAGGCAAACACAGGCAACUCCCUGGGGGCCCCAGGAUUCCCCCAAACGUCUUAAAACUGCUUAUUGAUUUUUUUUUUCUUCAAUUUAAAGUUUGUACUACUGUUUGAGUCUUGAGUAAACUUUUUGUUUCGACCGCUGCCCCUCCCUUCUCAUGCAAUGGACUAUUCCAUGUUAUGCAAAUGCUAAUUUGUUGGCGCGCCACGCAAGUGGAGCGAUAAUAAUUAUUAUUAUUAUUCUUUCUCUUUUCGCCAAAUUGUGUGUUGUGUAUGUCCGGUGCCCCCUUUUUGUUUUCAGUAUGUUUAUAUUGCUGUUAAUGUUUUGUUUUGUUUUUUAAAUUAAUAAGUAAAUAAAAAUAAAGUAUUUAAAAAAAAGAAAAAAAGCAAGUAAACAGAGUAAAAGACACAUUAAAAUACAACAACGUACACAUACGCACUCACCUCUUCCUCGGAGUGUACAAGUCUCGAGGUGACCCCGGUGGUGUAGAUGCUCCCACUUGCAUCCUCGUGAAUUUUUAUAUUGGAUUUCCUGCUUCGACAGUCUGGGUCUCUGGCACCGUCGAACAAGUCCAGAAUCUCCUCAUUGUAAAGCUGCAAUAGGACAGAGACGAAUACAGUAAAGUCUCAUUAUAUCGAUAUUGGUUAUAACGAAUUACUGCUUAUUACGAUACUAUUUUCAUUUCCCGGCAAAUUUCUAGUCUUUUAUGAUAUAAUUAGUUCCGUUAGUACGAUACCCGGUUAUUAUGAUAAUCCGGUUACUACGAUGCCCUUUUCAUCUCCCGCCAGCCAAUUUGGUCUGCUUAUAUCGAUACAAAAGCAGCUUAAAUCAAUCUUUGCUUAAGGAUUUCAAUACCAAAAAAGAACACGGCGAACGGCUGCUUCCAGUCAACUUUAUUUUUCACA